UACGAAGGGGGCUAGCGUUGCUCGGAAUCACUGGGCGUAAAGCGCACGUAGGCGGCUUUGUAAGUCAGAGGUGAAAGCCUGGAGCUCAACUCCAGAACUGCCUUUGAGACUGCAUCGCUUGAAUCCAGGAGAGGUGAGUGGAAUUCCGAGUGUAGAGGUGAAAUUCGUAGAUAUUCGGAAGAACACCAGUGGCGAAGGCGGCUCACUGGACUGGUAUU
rnacentral:rRNA from 1 species